GGAAGGGCAGUAGCUCGGUGGCAGAUCAUCUGCUUUGCAUGCAGAGGGUCACAGGUUCAAUCCCUGGUUUCUCCA